rnacentral:lncRNA from 1 species
AGUCAACGAGAAACUUUAAAAAUGAUCCUGAGGUGGUCAAAGGUUCGUUCACAUGUACUGGAAUUAGAAUGCACGCUAUAUAAAUUAGGUUUUUAUUUUAUUUAGGUUGACAGCACAUAGUUUAUUUGCAGUUUGAGAUCAUUUUCUCUUUAAAUAGAAGUAAGUGUCUUGGCACACACGGGUCAGUGGCUCUCUCCAUCUCACUGAAAGGUUGUUGUUCUGCUCCGACAUGUUAAAUUAGCCUUGAACCUCUUGUUGUGUAUGAUCGCAUGCCCCAUGUGUCUGCGUCAAUAAAUAAAUAAUAAAGGACAAGGCAUAAGGGUGAAAAUCUCAUGCCAACGACUCAAUAAAUCCCCUUUUUAAAAUAACUGAUGACAAUAUUCCUGCAAACGGAACGGUGAGGUUCAUGUCCCUUCAUUGUUACAUUGAUGUAUCAUUUCAAUGUUUCAAUGAAGGAACGUGAGGCUCCAGUGACGUCAACUCCCUCACCAGCGUGCCCGCAGGAGGAUCUGUUCUGCCGGCUGUAGGGGGCCAAGCCGCUGGGUCCCCCGGGCCCCUCUUCUCCAAACAGACUGGAGCGGUCAGCAGAGUCGAGGAACGGCUCAAAGAGGGGAUCCAGACAAUCGGACGCCCCGCCCAGCGAGCCCUCCGACCGGUAGGAGCUGGAGCUGGAGUAACGGGACGAUGAGCGGUAGGAUGAGGAGGAUCUGCGGCUGGAAGAAGUCACCGAUGCCAUGGCGGAGGAUGUGUGCUGUCCUUUCACACUUUCACACCGAGCCUGAGGGAACAAGACCUAGAUUCAAAUAUGAUUUCUCCUCCGCCACCCAAGAAUGAAUACUGAAUAAAUGGAUUCAAACAGAGGCGCCCUGGUGUUCUGUCUGCAAGGUACCACGCGUGGCAGAAGACUACCGGAGGGAAAAGUGCACCUGAGGGUGGAGAGGAAAUCAGAAAGAGCCCGACUGAGAGUGAGAGGGUCCUGUAAACGACGGCGACAGAAAAUCCCUCUUCUCGCGGCCCUUAUGUCAGGAGGACACAAUGACGCGGAGACAUCGCAUUUUCCAACAAGAAGAAAUUGACGGCACGUCGAUGGCGGGUUUUUCUUUGGACCCGGAAGUCAUAGGUGACUUGUGCAUGUUCCCUGCCUCACUUUUUAGCAUGAACCGUACAUUCACUGCUCUGUGCAUCACCUCGUACAUGACCCACCGCCAGCAGGGCCGAGCUGGGCCUUCGAAUGUCUUUCUUUGACAGUCUGGAACGUCAGGACCCAAACAUCACCUCCUGGUGAGGCUUGUGGGAUGGCUCACUUCUUUAUCCAGCGCGUGUCUAUCCCUCGCACCUCCCAUCCACACACUGAUGGCACAGUUCGGGGAUCAGACGUGUGCACUGGAGCUCUGUCCGUCCGAUUGAGCCCUUCCUGUGGAUCUCCUCCUGUGUCUUUGCGAUCCCCCGUCACGUGAUUCGGAUUUUUUCUUUCGUCGCCGAUUUUCCAAGCAACACUGGAUUGGAUCACCCUGGUCCAGAUACAAACUCUUCAAGAUUACCAUGGCGUCCCAUGGUCUCAAUGGGACGUCAUAUCACACUGAAGGCGACCAGGUAUGUAGACGACAACAGGUAGAAGAACCAGAGUCACUCACAGUUUAGUUAUAUGAAGUAACAGAAAAACAGACAGAACAUAGAACUUUCAGAGUUCUUCCUUCAAGGAGACACCAGAAGUUUGAAGCUGUGCCUUUCAACUUUAGAAGUUCAGAAUGAGUUAGAAUUGUUAGACACCAUUUUCAAUAGUGUGACUGUAAUAAAUAUAAAGGGAAAAAUGAAAGUUAAAAUUGAAUAAUGAUUUGUUUGAUACUGUCAGGUAUCAGGGAUAAUUUCAGUUUGACCUUCAGUUAAACUCAAUGUACCAAACGCCAGAUUUAGACUUAAUCUAAUUCAUCACUGUAAUGUUUCAAAGAAAUCAGGUGCAAUUUCAAAGUUUCAUAACUUUCUGUUCCUGAAAUCCAGUCGGCAUCCACUCUUCUGCUGGGAUCAGAAUAAUCCUGGCUUUUUGGAUCAAAGUUAUCCCAAUCCCCCCAAAAAAGUGUUGAACAAUGCAAACCGAAGGUUCGAAACGGAUUAAAAGCAAGAUUGGAUUACGCCAUCUCAUCCAAACCUAUAAUCUGUUUUGAACGACCCAUUUUCAAGAUUUGAUCCAAUCCAUUAUCCAAAAUCCAGUCGGAUGACUUCUGAACAACUGGGCCCCGAUGAUCAUACACACCUUUGGUUUGAAACCCAUCAGGCGCUGCUCUGACGUCCCCCCGUCCCCCCCCUCCCUCCCGGCCCGACUAAUGUAUUAGCAGGCUCCGCAGGGACCGGUGAUGUCAUGGAAGAAUGAAAUACUCACUGCUGUAGAAUCCCCAAGACCAGAUCGACUCCGGCUGCCGUUCCUCUGCCCUGGUAAUAACUUAAUGAUGAUGAUGCUGCUGUCAUGUCAGGGGGCUAAUUGCAGCGGGCUUUAUGGUGUGUGCACCGCAGCCAAUGUCCAGUAAUAAAUGAUGUUGAAAGAGGUGAAUGUAAUAGUUC